AAACUUCAUCUAUAACUUCACUGGGGCCUCAGCCUUUAGAAACCAAAAGUCUCAUAAUAUCCAAUCCAAUCAAAUCCCCGUCAUCAUACUCAUCACACUGAUAUUUAUCUAUGUUAACGUUGACUUUUUAUUCAUUUUUAGCCUCUAAUGAACUAAAAGCUCAUGAUAUUUGCAGACAUGUUUAAUUUAGUCAUUAUUAAAUCCCCUCUGUUUAGUUAACUGACUUGCACAAAGUAGAGAUUGGUAAAUAUGUACCGAGUGAAAGAAUAAAUACCUAGAUGGCCCGACUAUUGUAAUAUGGGCAACUCACAGUGCCCAGAAGUCUCACUUACCCAAUCAGCAUUCUUGAUUCCAACCGCUCCACACAUGAAAGUCCAGAGCCCUUUCUUUGUUCCCUGGAAUAUGCCAUCAGAGACAAGAAGCAACUCAUUUUGUACCCAUGAUUCAUCAUUUGAUCCUCAUUCCUGUCCAAAGGAGGCUUCUGGGACCACAUCUCCUUCCCUCAGCUCACCUAUGCCAUCAUUCCUCAUGAGAUCGGGAGGAACUGUCCUCCAUGUUAAAUGAUAUUCACGUUUAACUGAUUAUCCUUGAGAAAAUAAACUUCCCUGUUUUCAGCAGAACUCUAGGAAAAAAAAUAUUUUUACAUCUGGUAAGUAAUACUGUAUAAUUUAUAGUUUUCCUCAUUGAAUAGAAAUUAAGAAGAGAUUAUUACAUUGAUGAAUUUGCUCUGCUCCAUAAAUUUCUGUAAUUAAGCUGAAAUUGGUCAUUCUAGUGGCAGAGGACAAAAUUGCACACAACUUACAUGCAAAAUAGAAAUCAUGAAAUAUUUAAAUUUCAAAGCUUAUUAAAAGUCUUCUUUCCAGAAUUUCAUUAAGCUCUUAAAGAAUACUAUUGUACUUGUAACUAAGAGGUUUCUUACUUUCUGAGGUCUGCUAAAAAUUAUAUAGCUAAAAUACUAAUACGAUUUUACAAAGUAGACUACCCAUGUGAAAGUGUUGAGCUCAAAACAUUAGCUACAUAGAGCUACUUAGUUUGAAAAUGAACAGAAAAUUAUCAUUUGACAAUCAAAAUUAUUCAUUCUUCUGGAAAAGAUGAUUUUCAAUCUUUUAAAAUUUUCAAACUUUUCUUGUCACUUUUUAAAAACUGUAUCUUUCUUGACAAUUUUUAAAUGAAUAUUGAGGGAAAAAAAGACAUGAAAUUAUGCUAUCCCAAUCACCUUUUAACUUUUCCUCUUAAUUACUUAGAUGCAAAUCAAAUGGUUUCUAGAAAUAGUAGUGACACUCUGCCAAAAUGUAAUUGGCUGUAAACACUGAUUGAGUUUAUCUUUUUUGUGCCUCAUUUUUAAUUAUUUUGCUUUGACACCUUCUUCUCGCUGGGAUUACUCACUGGAGUCAUGUCUAUCCAUAUUCUGCAUUUAGAUCUGUCAUUAAAAAUAACAUAGUUCCUGCUUUAAUUCACAUGGCCAAUGAGAGUGGUUGAUUGAGUCUGAGGUUUAAAAAAAAACCUUUCUUUGAUACACAUAUAUGAGAAUCAAAACAAAAAUGAAUGGAUUGAUGAAAUUCCUGGUCACAGAAUUAAGUCCAAAAUGAAGGAAGCAUUUAAGCAAUAAUUCCUUAAUUUUGCUUUUCAACACAGGCAUUUUGCUUGUGACAUUUCUCCACUGAAGAUAUUAUUUGCUCAAGUGUAAUGAAAUUACAUGUAUUAUGAAAUGGAAAAGUUCCAGGGAUGUGGCUGGGAAUGGUGACUCCCACCUGUAAUCCCAGCACUUUGGGAGGCCAAGACAGGAGGAUCACUUGAGCUCAGCAAUUUGAGAUCAGCCUGAGCAACACAGUGAGAUCUCAUCUCUACUAAAAAUAAAAAUAAAAUAAAAUAAAAAUUGGUGAGCUUAUAGUCCCAGCUACUCAGGGGGCUGAGCCUUGGAAGGUAGAGGCUGCAGUGAGCUGUAAUAGCACCAGUGUACUCCAGCUGGGGCAACACAGUGAGACCCCAUCUCAAAAAUAUUUUUUAAAUUUAAAUAAUGUUUUAAAAAUCUCCAGGGAUGUGUGUUAGUGUGGGCGUAAAGUAGAGGUAGACAAACACUAAGAUGCAGAGUGGAAUUUGCAAAACUUGGGAGUAAAGAGAAAAAAAGUUCUUUCUUCUGUAUCAAACAUGUCCUGUUUUCUGACAAAGAAGUAAGAAAUCAUGGCAGACCCAAAUGUUCAGUUUUCAACCAAGAAUUUUGUUGCUGAGAUUUUAUCAACUUAACCUUCUAAAAAGAAAUGUAAGAUCACUCAAGCUUGAGGCAGAGUAAACAUAAGUUAAUUUUAAAGUGAGUAUAUUCAUUUACUGUCAUGAAAAGUCG
ensembl:lncRNA